rnacentral:rRNA from 1 species
GAAUGACUCUCGGCAACGGAUAUCUCGGCUCACGCAUCGAUGAAGAACGUAGCAAAAUGCGGUACUUGGUGUGAAUUGCAGAAUCCCGUGAACCAUCGAGUUUUUGAACGCAAGUUGCGCCCGAAGCCAUCUGGUUGAGGGCACGCCUGCCUGGGCGUCACG